rnacentral:rRNA from 1 species
CCCUUAGAUGUCCUGGGCUGCACGCGCGCUACACUGAUGUGUCCAGUAAGCACCUAACCUCUUCCGAAAGGAACGGGUAACCUUUGCAAAGCACAUCGUGAUGGGGAUAGAUUAUUGCAAUUAUUAGUCUUGAACGAGGAAUUCCUAGUAAGCACAAGUCAUCAGCUUGUGUUGAUUACGUCCCUGCCCUUUGUACACACCGCCCGUCGCACCUACCGAUUGAAUGACUCGGUGAAAUAUCGGGACCGUUGUCUGGUUUGAUUCAUUUCGAACUAGAUAGUGGGAACUUUCUUUAACCUAUUUAUUUAGAGGAAGGUGAAGUCGUAACA